AAUUGGGACUGAGACACGGCCCAGACUCCUACGGGAGGCAGCAGUGGGGGAUAUUGCACAAUGGGGGAAACCCUGAUGCAGCGAUGCCGCGUGGAGGAAGAAGGUAUUCGGAUUGUAAACUCCUGUCGUAAGGGAAGAGAAAGGACUGUACCUUACAAGAAAGCUCCGGCUAACUACGUGCCAGCAGCCGCGGUAAUACGUAGGGAGCGAGCGUUGUCCGGAAUGACUGGGUGUAAAGGGAGCGUAGGCGGGAUGGCAAGUCAGAUGUGAAACCUGAGGGCUCAACCUUCAGACUGCAUUUGAAACUGCUGUUCUUGAGUGAAGUAGAGGUAAGCGGAAUUCCUGGUGUAGCGGUGAAAUGCGUAGAGAUCAGGAGGAACAUCGGUGGCGAAGACGGCUUACUGGGCUUUUACUGACGCUGAGGCUCGAAAGCGUGGGGAGCAAACAGGAUUAGAUACCCUGGUAGUCCACGCUGUAAACGAUGAUUACUAGGUGUGGGGGGAUUGACCCCUUCCGUGCCGCAGUUAACACAAUAAGUAAUCCACCUGGGGAGUACGACCGCAAGGUUGAAACUCAAAGGAAUUGACGGGGGCCCGCACAAGCAGUGGAGUAUGUGGUUUAAUUCGAAGCAACGCGAAGAACCUUACCAGGUCUUGACAUCGAGUGACGUAUCCAGAGAUGGAUAUUUCCUUCGGGACACAAAGACAGGUGGUGCAUGGUUGUCGUCAGCUCGUGUCGUGAGAUGUUGGGUUAAGUCCCGCAACGAGCGCAACCCUUAUCAUUAGUUGCUACGCAAGAGCACUCUAAUGAGACCGCCGUUGACAAAACGGAGGAAGGUGGGGAUGACGUCAAAUCAUCAUGCCCCUUAUGACCUGGGCUACACACGUACUACAAUGGCGAUCGAACAGAGGGAAGCAAGACAGCGAUGUGGAGCCAAUCCCAAAAAAUCGCCCCAGUUCAGAUUGCAGGCUGCAACUCGCCUGCAUGAAGUCGGAAUUGCUAGUAAUCGCAGAUCAGCAUGCUGCGGUGAAUACGUUCCCGGGCCUUGUACACACCGCCCGUCACACCAUGGGAGUCGGUAACACCCAAAGCCGGUCGUCUAACCUUCGGGAGGACGCCGUCUAAGGUGGGAUUGAUGACUGGGGUGAAGUCGUAACAAGGUAGCCGUAUCGGAAGGUGCGGCUG
rnacentral:rRNA from 1 species